rnacentral:lncRNA from 1 species
GUAAAUAAUACUUUCUUUUUUAAAUUGGUGAGGCGGGUUGCAGGAGAGUGCUUUGAGGUUGAGUUUUUAGAAUAAAAAAAAAUAUAUAUAUAUAUAUAUAUAAAAAGAUAAGUGAAGAAAAAAAUAUGUAAAUAUAUAUAUAUACACGGGACACGACAAGAGGAGGGUAGAGGACGUCUGAACUGCUACGCCAUCUUGGGAAAAACCUGUACCCCUGUACAUUGACUCGCCGGCUGACUAAGACUGACAUGGAGCUGGAGGUGCUGCGAUACACUAACCGGAUUUCCAGUGAAGCCCAUAAAGAGGGAGGAUGUUUUAUUCUGGAGCCCCUAUAUUCUGUCUCCAGCUGAGGGAUGAAGAUGUGCGCCCUGUCCCAAGGCCUCCCCAGUCUUAUCAAUCUGACUAGAGGAGGGCUGUGUAGACGUUUGAUCCUUGGUCCUGCUUGAUGAGAAGGCGGUGUGCAGAAAGAUGUUAAAGGCUCUGGGCUGGGGAAUACUGACACUGUAUUAACUUGAUGUAGUGUAUUAUAACAGGAUCCAGAUGUGACGUUGUCCCACUUCCACUUGGAGCUCUUGCACUAAGUCAAUAUGGAUGGAGCUAGGAGGAUUCAGUGACACGUUUGGCUGCAGUGUCCUUCACUGUUGUUUUCCCAUUCCACUGCUCGCUCUGAUGAUGUAAUUUGUCAUCAUAGAAGAAGCUACUACAGCUCAAUGAUAAGAGCACUGCCGCAUGUUAACAUAUUUUUUUUUAUAAUGUUAUAGUUUUCUUUGUAUAAUCUUCCCUGGUUUUUUAUCCUUUUGGACAUCUGAAGGCAGCCAAACUUUUUUGUGUAUAACUAAGCAAUAAACUUCCUUCCUUCACUGGC